CCCUCCCCGUUGGUUUGAAGGGGUAAGGGUGUCCCAAUUCUCAUUUGGGUUAAGGGGUAGGGCGAAGACAAAAGGCUACGUAGCCCUUGAAACGAAGCUAUCCAAGGACCACACUUCAAAGGGAGGGCUUCGAGGAAAAUCCGGCCGAAAAUGCAUUUUUACUAGUUGUUAUCAUUCGGACUCAUGAUGUAAAGUUGACUGUAUAUUCAGCUCGAAGUCAUACACGGACAAUGCGAUCUCUGAGCUCGAAAUAAAACAUGACAUAACGGUAAAUAACCGUUGAACUAUACAUACAAGAUUUUGGCGCUCUCUAGUGGCCAACCGAAAUCGCCAAAUAAACAAACAGCAGCGAUGGCUCAAGCGAAGGACACGCACAAAUGGACACCACAGGAGACCAGACGGCUCAUUAAUUUCAGGGCGACCAGGGACAAUGAGUACCUAAAAUCUAAAAUGAUCGCCAGAAAACAGUGGGAGAUUUUUCUGGAAGAAAUGGGGGUGGAGGGGAAAGUGACCAGGCAACAGGCUUCUAAGAAGUGGGAGAACCUUAAAAAGAAGUACAAGGCCCGCUCUAUUACAGAACGCAUCUUGGAUUGGCGGUAAUUAAAGCUCUGCUGCACCCACCCAAUCACCGGCUCUUUAUAGGGAGUCAACAGACAUACGGGCGUCUGGAGGCAGGGGUACCCACCAUCACCUAAAAGCAUGUAACCCGGCGGUGGAUACCUGGCAGUCAAAUAAAAAUAACUGUUUUUCAUUACCCUUGUCCUUUAUGUUUCUUGGACGGAAUGUAACUGAUAAUUUCGUUGCUCUGUAACAUGUGCAAUGACAACAAAUAAAAUCCUAUCCUAUGGCAAUGUUUUGAUAUGUUGAGGGGAGUGUCUUAUGUCUGCAUUUAUUUGAAAGAGCAUAUGCACAGAAAAGCAGACGGACGGAGUUACAAUGGAGAUCCUGCGAGUUUUUAAAGCCAUGUGACGCGUCACAUCACAUAGGGAAGUUAACGCCAGCAUUUCUGACGUUUUUAUCCACUAAUACAUUAUGUUAUGUGAGGCAACGCAACGUAUGCUUGAUCUGAAACAUGC